rnacentral:rRNA from 1 species
CCUACGUGUGGCAGCAGUCGAGAAUCAUUCACAAUGGGGGAAACGCUGAUGGUGCGACGUCGCGUGGGGUAAUGAAGGUCUUCGGAUUGUAAACCCCUGUUAUGUGGGAGCAAAUUAACCAGAUUGUACCACAAGAGGAAGAGACGGCUAACUCUGUCCCAGAAGCCGCGGUAAUACAGAGGUCUCAAGCGUGGUUCGGAAUAACUGGGCGUAAAGCGUGCGUAGGCUGUUUAGUAAGUCGUGUGUGAAAGGCGGGGGCUCAACACGCGGACGGCACAUGAUACUGCGAGACGAGAGUAAUGUGGGGGGUACCGGAAUUCUCGGUGUAGCAGUGAAAUGCGUAGAUA